UACGGAGGGGGCUAGCGUUGUUCGGAAUUACUGGGCGUAAAGCGCACGUAGGCGGCUUUGUAAGUUAGAGGUGAAAGCCCGGGGCUCAACCCCGGAAUAGCCUUUAAGACUGCAUCGCUUGAACACGGGGAGAGGUGAGUGGAAUUCCGAGUGUAGAGGUGAAAUUCGUAGAUAUUCGGAAGGACACCAGUGGCGAAGGCGGACGUCAGCUGGA
rnacentral:rRNA from 1 species